rnacentral:rRNA from 1 species
CAGCCGCCGCGGUAAUACGUAGGUGGCAAGCGUUGUCCGGAAUUAUUGGGCGUAAAGGGCUCGCGGGCGGUUUCUUAAGUCUGAUGUGAAAGCCCCCGGCUCAACCGGGGAGGGUCAUUGGAAACUGGGAAACUUGAGUGCAGAAGAGGAGAGUGGAAUCCCACGUGUAGCGGUGAAAUGCGUAGAGAUGUGGAGGAACACCAGUGGCGAAGGCGACUCUCUGGUCUGUAACUGACGCUGAGGAGCGAAAGCGUGGGGAGCGAACAGGAUUAGAUACCCCUGUAGUCCCUGUCUCUUAUAC